CCUACGGGUGGCAGCAGUAGGGAAUAUUGCUCAAUGGGGGAAACCCUGAAGCAGCAAAGCCGCGUGGAGGAUGAAGGUUUUCGGAUUGUAAACUCCUUUUGUUAGAGAAGAAAAUGACGGUAUCUAACGAAUAAGCACCGGCUAACUCCGUGCAAGCAGCCGCGGGAAUACGGAGGGUGCAAGCGUUACUCGGAAUCACUGGGCGUAAAGAGCGCGUAGGCGGGAUAGCAAGUCAGAUGGGAAAUCCUAUGGCUUAACCAUAGAACUGCAGUUGAAACUGUUAUUGUAGAGUAUGGGAGAGGUAGGUGGAAUGCUUGGUGUAGUGGUGAAAUCCGUAGAGAUCAAGAGGAAUACUCAUUGCGAAGGCGACCUGCUAGAACAUGACUGACGCUGAUGCGCGAAAGCGUGGGUAGCAAACAGGAUUAGAUACCCCUGUAGUC
rnacentral:rRNA from 1 species